UUGUUUAAAGAAAAAAGUUACCUCUGUAAUCCUCGAUAUUGAAGGUGCUAGCAAAUUCACGGUUUUGAGCCUAAAAACAAGAUUACUAAUCAGAGUCUAGAAGAAUCAACUGUAAGAAUUAUUAAAGGAUCAAAAUAAUAGUAAAAAACCGGACUCUCUGGUAUCAUGCUUUAUAUUAAAUACUAGAUAAUUGAUUUUGAGAUGAAGAAAGACCUGAAUAUGUCGCAACAAUUGCUCCUGAUCUUGAAGAUCCUCGUAUGAACCUGUGGAUGUCAUCAACUUCGGAAGUAUAUCAUCCUGAAGCCAAUGAAUGUAAAUAUAAAUAAACAUUAGUGGCUUAAUACUUCACGGUUGCAAUUAGGGCCGUUCAAAUCGCUCGCCGCUCGCCGCUCGUCGCUCGCUCGACGCUCGUUCGGAAACUGCUCGGAAAAUGCUCGUUUGAUUUGACGCUCGGUUGUAAACGAGCCGCUCUGCUCGGUUCGGUUUGUAAACGAGCCAAGCAUGAGCAAAGGUUCGCUCGGCUCGGUUCGGCUCGAAUUAUUAUUUUAAUUAGUAUACAUAUACAUAUACCUAUACACAUACAUAUAUAAACAUGACAUACAUAUAUAAACAUGUAUAUACACACAAAUAUAAAUUAUACAUAAUACACACACCUAUAUAUAUACACACUUAAACAUACAUAUAUACUUAAAUAUAAAUUAAAUUUAUAGUUUUAUAUGUACCACUCUAUUAGAUUUUGGUCAACGAUAUACAAAUUUACAACUAUAUCUAUACGUACUAGCCCAAC
rnacentral:lncRNA from 1 species